rnacentral:rRNA from 1 species
GUUGAACGCUGGCGGCAUGCUUUACACAUGCAAGUCGAACGGCAGCGCGGGCUUCGGCCUGGCGGCGAGUGGCGAACGGGUGAGUAAUGCAUCGGAACGUGCCCAGUAGUGGGGGAUAGCCCGGCGAAAGCCGGAUUAAUACCGCAUACGACCUGAGGGUGAAAGCGGGGGACCGAAAGGCCUCGCGCUAUUGGAGCGGCCGAUGUCGGAUUAGCUAGUUGGUGGGGUAAAGGCUUACCAAGGCGACGAUCCGUAGCUGGUCUGAGAGGACGACCAGCCACACUGGGACUGAGACACGGCCCAGACUCCUACGGGAGGCAGCAGUGGGGAAUUUUGGACAAUGGGGGCAACCCUGAUCCAGCCAUGCCGCGUGCGGGAAGAAGGCCUUCGGGUUGUAAACCGCUUUUGUUCGGGAAGAAAUCCUAUGGGCUAAUACCCCGGGGGGAUGACGGUACCGGAAGAAUAAGCACCGGCUAACUACGUG